rnacentral:rRNA from 1 species
GACGAACGCUGGCGGCGUGCCUAAUACAUGCAAGUAGAACGCAGUUGCGAACGGGUGAGUAACGCGUAGGUAACCGCCUCAUUGCGGGGGAUAACCAUUGGAAACGAUAGCUAAUACCGCAUACUGUGAGAUGGACCUGCGUUGUAUUAGCUAGUUGGUGAGGCAAAGGCUCACCAAGGCGACGAUACAUAGCCGGCCUGAGAGGGGGAUCGGCCAAAAUGGGAAUGGGGCACGGCCCAGACUCCUACGGGAGGGAGCAGUAGGGGAUCUGCGGCAAUGGACGGAAGUCUGACCAAGCAACGGCGGGGGAGUGAAGAAGGUUUUCGGAGCUUAAAGCUCUGUUGAUAGAGAAGCGGUAACUAACGAGAAAGGGACGGCUAACUACGUGCCAGCAGCCGCGGUAAUUC